UGGUACAAGACGAUGAUGCUGUAAUCCAAGCACAUAUCUUAAUUAUUGUGCAGACAACCACACACACUGAGUCUUAUGCCA